rnacentral:rRNA from 1 species
ACAUCCAGCGAACUUGGCAGAGAUGCCUUGGUGCCUUCGGGAACGCUGAGACAGGUGCUGCAUGGCUGUCGUCAGCUCGUGUUGUGAAAUGUUGGGUUAAGUCCCGNAACGAGCGCAACCCUUAUCCUUUGUUGCCAGCGAUUCGGUCGGGAACUCAAAGGAGACUGCCGGUGAUAAACCGGAGGAAGGUGGGGAUGACGCCAAGUCAUCAUGGCCCUUACGAGUAGGGCUACACACGUGCUACAAUGGCGCAUACAAAGAGAAGCGACCUCGCGAGAGCAAGCGGACCUCAUAAAGUGCGUCGUAGUCCGGAUCGGAGUCUGCAACUCGACUCCGUGAAGUCGGAAUCGCUAGUAAUCGUGGAUCAGAAUGCCACGGUGAAUACGUUCCCGGGCCUUGUACACACCGCCCGUCACACCAUGGGAGUGGGUUGCAAAAGAAGUAGGUAGCUUAACCUUCGGGAGGGCGCUUACCACUUUGUGAUUCAUGACUGGGGUGAAGUCGUAACAAGGUAAGCGUAGCGAG